rnacentral:rRNA from 1 species
GUGCACGCUGGCGGUAGGCCUAACACCUGCCAGUCGGACGGCAGCACAGUAAGAGCUUGCUCUUACGGGUGGCGAGUGGCGGACGGGUGAGGAAUACAUCGGAAUCUACUUUUUCGUGGGGGAUAACGUAGGGAAACUUACGCUAAUACCGCAUACGACAUACGGGUGAAAGCAGGGGAUCUUCGGACCUUGCGCGAUUGAAUGAGCCGAUGUCGGAUUAGCUAGUUGGCGGGGUAAAGGCCCACCAAGGCGACGAUCCGUAGCUGGUCUGAGAGGAUGAUCACCCCCACUGGACUUGGGACACGUCCCCAACUCCUACGGGAGGCAGCAGAGGGAAUUAUUCGCAAUUGGCCGCAACCCUGCUCCACCCCGCCCGGUGAGUUAAAGAAGUCUUUCGAGUUGUAAAGCCCUUUUGUAGGGAAGGACAAGCGUCAGGUUAAUUACCCACUGUUCGAACGUUACCCAAAAAAUAACCACCGGCAAAUUCCGG